rnacentral:rRNA from 1 species
CCUACGGGAGGCAGCAGUGAGGAAUAUUGGUCAAUGGGCGUGAGCCUGAACCAGCCAAGUCGCGUGAAGGAUGAAUGCCCUACGGGUUGUAAACUUCUUUUAUAAAGGAAUAAAGUGAGGCACGUGUGCUUUUUCGUAUGUACUUUAUGAAUAAGGAUCGGCUAACUCCGUGCCAGCAGCCGCGGUAAUACGGAGGAUCCGAGCGUUAUCCGGAUUUAUUGGGUUUAAAGGGGGCGUAGACGGGUUGUUAAGUCAGUUGUGAAAGUUUGCGGCUCAACCGUAAAAUUGCAAUUGAUACUGGCGGUCUUGAGUACAUUUGAGGUAGGCGGAAUGCGUGGUGUAGCGGUGAAAUGCUUAGAUAUCACGAAGAACUCCGAUUGCGAAGGCAGCUUACCAAGCUGCCACUGACAUUGAUGCACGAAAGUGUGGGUAUCAAACAGGAUUAGAUACCCGUGUAGUC